UUAGACCUGAAAUGAAAAAGACUACUGCAAGGCUAAGCAUUUCUUUGAAAGAAACUCAAGAGGAAAGUUUCAUGAGGGAUGGUCCUUGUGACUUUACUGGGAGACAAAUCUGUGCUGCAUUUCACAGAAUCUGCAGAGGAGAAAAACUUUAUGAUUCUCGUCAUUGUGAGAAAGUGUUGAGUCAACAGUCAUCCCUUAUUUACCAUCAAAAAAUUAAUGCUGAUGUGAAACUACAUGAAUGUGGUAAAACUUUUAGUGAGCACUCAUCCUUCAUUAUACAUGGGAGAAGUCACAAUGGCAGGAAAGCUUAUGAAUGUAAUCUGUGUGGGAAGGCUUUCAGGUAUAAAAGCCAUCUUACUCUACAUCAGAGAAACCACACUGGGGAGAAAACUUAUACAUGUAAUCUAUCUGAAGGAUUUUACACACAGCUCCACCCUUAUUAACCAUCAGAGACUCCACACUAGAGAGAAACCUUAUGAAUGUAAUCAGUAUGGAAAGGCUUUCACAUGGAGUUCCAGCCUUAUUAAACAUCAAAGAGUCCACACUGGAGAGAAACUUUACAAAUGUAAUUAGUGUGGAAAAGCUUUAAGAUGUAAAAAUGAUCUUAGCCUACAUCAGAGAAUGCACACUGGAGAGAAACCAUAUGAAUGUGUUCAAUGUGGAAAAGUUUUCUGACUAAACUGGAAACUUGCUGUACAUGAGAUAAUCCACAUUGGAGGUAAUCCACAGUGUAAUUAACGUGACAAGGCUUUACCACUAAGCUCAAAUCUUGUUCAACAUCAGAGAAUCCACACUGGAGAAAUCUUAUGAGUGUUUAGAAUUUGAUAAAACUUUAUGUACAUCAUCUCCUUUCCAAACAAAUCUGAUGAAUGAAAAGUCCAUUUCUAGAACCCAUGGAAUGAUUGACCUGUGCUGUCCUCCAGUUCCUUUGCAAAUCUUAGGAGCCCUGGGGAAGAAGGUGCUGAGAAAAAGGUGUCCAGUUCUAAAGGGAUGAAGUGGUUCACUGAGUAACCAAGACCUCCCGCAGGUGAAGGGGCGUUGCAGAGAGUGGGAAGACAGACCAGGUGGAAAGGGCAGUGAGCAGAAGCCAGGAAUUCUGUGUGGCCCAGGGUCCGACCUUCCUGAGGCCCGCACCAACGGAGCUAGCUUCCAGAAGGCAGAGAUAUCGCAACUCCAUGGGAAGGCAGAGUGAGCUAUGCUCCUGGGGAAGAAGGCUUUACAAGUUUGGUUACAAGUUCGCUUCUAAUAUAGGAACUAUUUUCAUCUGAUGGACUGUCUGACCUCUGAUUAUGAAAAGUAUAAAAUCUCACCUGGAACAAUAUGUACAGAAGUGAUAUCUUUGAGCCAUCUUGGUCUCAAGAAACCCCAUCCUUGAUUCCCAAAGGGCCUCCUUCCUUGACUAGAGCUGACAUUGCAGAUCUUGGGGUGCAAAAAAGAGGGGAAUGCCUUAGAUUCUCUUGAGCUGGGGAAUAGAUCAUGUUAAUUCAAGAAGUAUUUAUGCAUCAAUCAAUAAACCUUUGUUAAGCACC